ACCGAACCGACUAAUGUUGAAAAAUUAGCGGAUGACUUGUGGCUGGGGGGGAAAGGCCAAUCAAACCGGGAGAUAGCUGGUUCUCCCCGAAAGCUAUUUAGGUAGCGCCUCGUGAAUUCAUCUCCGGGGGUAGAGCACUGUUUCGGCAAGGGGGUCAUCCCGACUUACCAACCCGAUGCAAACUGCGAAUACCGGAGAAUGUUAUCACGGGAGACACACGGCGGGUGCUAACGUCCGUCGUGAAGAGGGAAACAACCCAGACCGCCAGCUAAGGUCCCAAAGUCAUGGUUAAGUGGGAAACGAUGUGGGAAGGCCCAGACAGCCAGGAUGUUGGCUUAGAAGCAGCCAUCAUUUAAAGAAAGCGUAAUAGCUCACUGGUCGAGUCGGCCUGCGCGGAAGAUGUAACGGGGCUAAACCAUGCACCGAAGCUGCGGCAGCGACGCUUAUGCGUU
rnacentral:rRNA from 1 species